UACGGAGGGUGCAAGCGUUGUCCGGAAUCACUGGGCGUAAAGGGCGCGUAGGCGGCCUGUUAAGUCGAACGUGAAAUCCCCGGGCUCAACCCGGGAACUGCGUCCGAUACUGGCAGGCUUGAAUUCGGGAGAGGGAUGUGGAAUUCCAGGUGUAGCGGUGAAAUGCGUAGAUAUCUGGAGGAACACCGGUGGCGAAGGCGGCAUCCUGGACCGAUAUUGACGCUGAUGCGCGAAAGCCAGGGGAGCAAACGGGG
rnacentral:rRNA from 1 species